rnacentral:rRNA from 1 species
GACGAACGCUGGCGGCGUGCUUAACACAUGCAAGUCGAACGGUAAGGCCCUUCGGGGUACACGAGUGGCGAACGGGUGAGUAACACGUGGGUGAUCUGCCCUGCACUUCGGGAUAAGCCUGGGAAACUGGGUCUAAUACCGGAUAGGACCACUGCCUGCAUGGGUGGUGGUGGAAAGCUUUUGCGGUGUGGGAUGGGCCGCGGCGUAUCAGCUUGUUGGUGGGGUGAUGGCCUACCAAGACGAGGACGGGUAGCCGGCCUGAGAGGGUGACCGGUCACAAUGGGAAUGAGAUACGGACCAGACUCCUACGGGAGGCAGCAGUGGGGAAUAUUGCACAAGGGGCGCAAGCCUGAUGCAGCGACGCCGCGUGAGGGAUGACGGCCUUCGGUUUGUAAACCUCUUUCAGCACCGACGAAGCGCAAGUGACGGUAGGUGCAGAAGAAGGACCGGCCAACUACGUGCCAGCAGCCGCCGUAA